UACGUAGGGGGCAAGCGUUGUCCGGAUUUAUUGGGCGUAAAGAGCGUGUAGGCGGCCACACAGGUCUGCUGUGAAAACUCGAGGCUCAACCUCGAGACGCCGAUGGAAACCGACUGGCUAGAGUCCGGAAGAGGAGAGUGGAAUUCCUGGUGUAGCGGUGGAAUGCGCAGAUAUCAGGAGGAACACCGAUGGCGAAGGCAGAUCUCUGGGCCGUUACUGACGCUGAGGAGCGAAAGCGUGGGGAGCGAACAGG
rnacentral:rRNA from 1 species